GACGAACGCUGGCGGCGUGCUUAACACAUGCAAGUCGAACGGAAAGGCCCCCUUGUGGGGUACUCGAGUGGCGAACGGGUGAGUAACACGUGAGUAACCUACCCUUGACUUUGGGAUAACUUCAGGAAACUGGGGCUGAUACCGGAUAGGAGCUCCUGCUGCAUGGUGGGGGUUGGAAAGUUUCGGCGGUUGGGGAUGGACUCGCGGCUUAUCAGCUUGUUGGUGGGGUAGUGGCUCACCAAGGCUUUGACGGGUAGCCGGCCUGAGAGGGUGACCGGCCACAUUGGGACUGAGAUACGGCCCAGACUCCUACGGGAGGCAGCAGUGGGGAAUAUUGCACAAUGGGCGGAAGCCUGAUGCAGCAACGCCGCGUGCGGGAUGACGGCCUUCGGGUUGUAAACCGCUUUCGCCUGUGACGAAGCGUGAGUGACGGUAAUGGGUAAAGAAGCACCGGCUAACUACGUG
rnacentral:rRNA from 1 species